rnacentral:lncRNA from 1 species
CGGGCGGCGUGGCCGGGGCCGAGCGGACCUGAGCCCGGCGUUGGCCGCGGGGAAGGAGGUGGAAGUGCUCCUGGCUGCAGAGAAGCAUGCUGAAGUUGGUGGUGUGGUCAGGUGCAGCAGUGGCAGAGCUUAGCAGCAGGCGCAGAAAGAGACACGUGGUGCAGAACUUGCCAGCCUACAAACGACCUGCUCCAGUCCUCAGGAGAGCUCCGUAUCAGACUUCCCAGCAGACAGAAAUUUGCUCUGUGCUUGUCUUUAACGUAGCGUUGAGGCUGUAACUGCAUGGCAUGUGUUGCUCGUUGUAAAUAGCAUGAUAAUCGAUAAGGACUUACACAAAUAGAGGAGAAAACUGCCUUCUCUCCCUCAGGCUGGGAUGUUAUAUUAUUCAUUACUCCAUUUAUUCGUUUGUAUAAAUAGGACAUAUGGAUAUGUUCCUUGGAAACAGAAGGAUUACAUGGAGUAAAGUCAGUCCUGACUUCUGGAUAGUUUGAAUAACCUUAUUUGCCAGACUCAGCGAUUGCUUGGUCAUUGUGAAGUUGUCUUCCCCCUAAGCUGAUCAAGUUUAGGAUUUUGCUUUGUAUGCACGUAUUAUACAAAUACAUUUAUGUGCGAAUCUUUCUGCUUUCGGUGUUUUUUUUGCAUAACAAAUUUAUCGUAUCACAACGUAUGACUGAUCAUGUGAGUCAUAUACUAUUCUUUUACUCGAUCAGAUGUCUCUAAACCCUUCUGUAGUAACAUUACCCUUGUAUUUCCUUGGUGAGGCUGUCUGUACAUGCUCAUACAUGCAUGUAGUAUGUGUGUGUGUUUGUACAUGCAAAAACACAACCUUCAUUUUACAUGCAUGGCUCUUACGGAGGCAGAAGCAGUCAGCAGGCAGGCAGUGGUGCUGGAGGUGUUGUGGAGCAGGCAGGAGCAGCCGGCUGUGCAGCAGGCCCACCCUGAGUGCAUCCCUGCAGACACACACCGUGUUUUGCACAGUUUGUUUAUCUUUGCCUUCGGGCUCAUGUAAACUAGAACUGUAGUGAUAAACUGCUCAGAUCUCUGUUACAGAUUCUUGAAUUCUCCCUUUAUUACUUAAUGUGCUUAUAACACUUUUUU